UUUGUGCUUCUCCGUUUCCUGCCCCGUUUGGGGUAGCCAUUGAUCUUACAUUCGUAGCAGGCCUCCGGGGAGAGAGAAUUGUCAUCCAUUUCGCCACUGGCAGGUGGCUCCGGGCCUCCUCGGCCCAUGCCAAUUCCAGAAACACAGUGCCUGUGGAGGAAGAGGGGCACGGCCCCUUUUCAUUAGAACUGGUAGAUAAGGGAGGAGGACCAAGAGUUCCAGUGGUGCAUGGACCCCACCAGGUGACAUUUAGCCACUGACUAUUUGUCUGCUAGGUGACUGGCUGGUUCCAAGAGCCACCCUGAAGUCCUCUGGGUUUAGGCUCAGAGUCCCAGUUCCCCGGGUUGGGUCGAUUUCUUUCUACUAUCUCUCUGGGUCCUGUGUUGCAUAUGGAUUUGCCCCUUCUUUUCUGAACCCAACUGUGGCAGGUGUUUUGCUCCAUUAACACAGGGAGGGGACAUGGAGUGGAAAUGGGGAAAGGAUUGGGAGCAGAGGGGGAGACCAUGUGACUUGGGAGGUUAAAGGAAAACAUCUUCCUUUUAUAAACCAGAAAGUGAGAAAGGUAUGAGCAUCCGCCAUUGAGCUCCCUGCCCUUUUCCUGCCUCCCUGACCGCAUCACUACAGUCUCCCCUUCCGCCACCACUAUCACCAGCCUUCACCACUCCGGCUUCUGAGCAACUUCUCCUCUUAUGCAUUUUCAGUAAAGACCGAACCCUGUUUGCCCCAGGAGAAGGGUGGGUCAGGAAUGUGCCCUGAGUCCUGUUCUGGUCUGGGUCGGCCCCUGCAUUUCUGGAGAAAUGAAUCCAUUUUCAACAAGAAGAUCAAGAGAACAAGACGAAGAAAACCUAUAUCAAGAUGAUGAAAACAAGGCUCCAAGAGCCCCUCUGAGAUCCAGCAGCAGCAGCAGGGCCGAGACGCAUGCCCAGGGCUGUCUGAUUGCAGAAGCCACGUGCUUGCCUUCGUGCCAGUGUCUCUCAAGAGACUCCACACCAUUU